AAUGAACGUUGGCGGCGUGGAUUAGGCAUGCAAGUCGAGCGUGUACCCGCAAGGGGAAAGCGGCAAACGGGGUAGGAACGCGUAGGCCACGUACCCCUCGGCCGGGGAUAGCCACGGGAAACUGUGGGUAAUACCCGAUGACGCCGAGAGGCCAAAGGUGUGAUUCCGCCGGGGGAGCGGCCUGCGUAGUAUUAGCUAGUUGGUGAGGUAACGGCUCACCAAGGCGAAGAUGCUUAGGGGGUGUGAGAGCAUGACCCCCACCACUGGGACUGAGAUACUGCCCAGACACCUACGGGUGGCUGCAGUCGAGAAUCUUCGGCAAUGGGGGCAACCCUGACCGAGCGACGCCGCGUGUGGGAUGAAGGCCCUUGGGUUGUAAACCACUGUCAGAGGGGAUGAAACGAUCAUGGGUUCUCCCAUGGUCCUGACAUAGCCUCAGAGGAAGCACGGGCUAAGUUCGUGCCAGCAGCCGCGGUAAUACGAACUGUGCAAACGUUAUUCGGAAUCACUGGGUAC
rnacentral:rRNA from 1 species